rnacentral:rRNA from 1 species
UACGUAGGGUGCAAGCGUUGUCCGGAAUUAUUGGGCGUAAAGAGCUCGUAGGCGGUCUGUCACGUCGGACGUGAAAAUCCAGGGCUCAACCCUGGACCUGCGUUCGAUACGGGCAGACUAGAGUUCGGUAGGGGAGACUGGAAUUCCUGGUGUAGCGGUGAAAUGCGCAGAUAUCAGGAGGAACACCGGUGGCGAAGGCGGGUCUCUGGGCCGAAACUGACGCUGAGGAGCGAAAACGUGGGGAGCAAACAGG